CCUUGUACACACCGCCCGUCACACCACGAAAGCCUGUUGUACCCAAAGCCGGUGCACUAACCCGCAAGGGAGGUAGCUGUCUAAGGUAUGGCCGGUGAUUGGGGUG
rnacentral:rRNA from 1 species